UAAAAUCCCGAGACCAGACAAUUCUGGUGCUUGUAUUUUGCCUGUUGCUAGUGUGUUGUUGGAAAGGGUGUAGCAACUCUGUCUAAUCAGGGUGAGAUCCUAGCCAGGGCACAAGGAGAGCAGGAAGGUGAUGUGAUUGUGGAACCUACUGAGGGUGUGGAAACCUGUAGCAAGAAGGAAAAGAUUCCUGAACUUGUGUGUGGCAAAGGGAAGGAGAAUGCUUCUAACCUUUUAUCUAGGAAGUCUGUAAGUUUGCAUGAAAGGGGAUUGUGUAGGAAUCCGCCUGAUGGGCCAGAGGUGAUUCUGGAUGUAAGGGAGACCCAGAAAGAGUCUGUAGUUGCUCAGGAAAGUGUUCCCCUAGAGCAAGCCCUAGGUAAAGAGGGUAAGAGCAGAAUUUCUGGGAGGGGGUGAAUUGUUGCAUAGAAAAGCCCUCGGGAAAGGAAUCCUCAUGGAGUCUUUGCAAGCAGUUUACUGCCACUGAAGGGUGUGAAAGUGAUUUAAUCAAGAAAGUUUCAGUUCCUAACAGCCAGAAAUUUUCUGUUGUGAAUGGAUCCACUGACUUUCCUGUUGAAAGAUCCAGUGUGGAGAGCUUUGAGAAGGUCUCAGAUGGAGUGAAAGCUAUUAAGAAAGGUAUACCGUCCUAUAACCAAGUGGCUGUGUUUGGCCAGCUUGUUGGGGAGACAAGGUUGUUGGGAAAGGGAUGUCUCCAUGCUAGUUCUGUAAGUGAACAGUAUGUGGCCCAGGUCAAGAUGGGGGCCCUUAACCAAGAGAGCCCGAAUUGCAGCCCUCCAGACUGGAGCUCUGGGAGAAAACCCAAUCCCAGUUUGACCCCCUGGGGUUUUGGGGUGGCCAAAGGGCAUGGGCUGCAGAAACCUUCCCACAUGCAGCCUGCUAGUGCUAUCGACCACCCCCGACCUAAGGGAGGGCGUGAAACUGGAAGGGCCUGGUGUAACUCCUACCAAGGAACGGGAGAGAUGCUGGGGCAUCCAUGGGAACAUUGGUGGCUUCAAACUUCCCCAGGUCACCGGGUAAAGUGACCCCGCUCAGUUCGAUCUCGAAGGGGGGAGAGAUGUGACGAAGUGGGCCUGUUCUUAAUGUUUCCUCUGAAUAGUGUGGGGGUGCCUCAGUUUCCCCUAUGCAGUUCUUAAGUAUCUAGGUGGUGGGGUAAGGGUGUAUGAUCAUUGCAGUGCCCUAGAGGGCAUGUGUGUGCAGGAGUCUGGACACAGAGAAUGGCCGACACCCUGUUUCCUGGCAACUGAUGGCCUGGGCCCUUCCCCCCCUGCAAGGUGAGAGCUGAAGGGUUGGAGAACAAAGGAAUCAGGUGACCACCUGGCCCGGGAAAGGAACAAAGCCCAGAGGAGGAGGGGCUGGAGGGGUUUUCAGUUUGGGGCUGGCUGGGACAUGGAGUGAAGUGCAGACGUGGUUGUCUGGCUCACUGCCCCCCAGAAUGGACCCAGCAGAGGGGUCCCGUUCUCUGCACCUGCAAGCUCUGUUUUAGACCAUGUUCCUGUCGUCUAAUAAACCUUCUGUUUUA